rnacentral:lncRNA from 1 species
UACUUGCUAAUUACACAAUUCAAUUGCCUAACAUGCAUCACAAUUAUCUAAUAAUCACUCAUCUACUCUAAUCUAACCACCUAAUUGCACUUAGUUAAAUCUAAUUAACCAUUAAGCAUCAUUAGUCUACUAAGUAAGGAUUAGUGAGAUUACUCACUUGAUUAAAAGCGGGGACCGGAUCACCGUGACGGCGACGCGACGGCGGUUGAAACCCGAACUUUCGGUGGCGUCGACGGACACUUGGGCCGGGCCUACAAGC